GACGAACGCUGGCGGCGUGCCUAAUACAUGCAAGUCGAACGCUUCUUUCCUCCCGAGUGCUUGCACUCAAUUGGAAAGAGGAGUGGCGGACGGGUGAGUAACACGUGGGUAACCUACCCAUCAGAGGGGGAUAACACUUGGAAACAGGUGCUAAUACCGCAUAACAGUUUAUGCCGCAUGGCAUAAGAGUGAAGGGCGCUUUCGGGUGUCGCUGAUGGAUGGACCCGCGAUGCAUUAGCUAGUUGGUGAGGUAACGGCUCACCAAGGCCACGAUGCAUAGCCGACCUGAGAGGGUGAUCGGCCACACUGGGACUGAGACACGGCCCAGACUCCUACGGGAGGCAGCAGUAGGGAAUCUUCGGCAAUGGACGAAAGUCUGACCGAGCAACGCCGCGUGAGUGAAGAAGGUUUUCGGAUCGUAAAACUCUGUUGUUAGAGAAGAACAAGGACGUUAGUAACUGAACGUCCCCUGACGGUAUCUAACCAGAAAGCCACGGCUAACUACGUG
rnacentral:rRNA from 1 species